rnacentral:rRNA from 1 species
UCGGAUUGUAGUCUGCAACCCGACUACAUGAAGCCGGAAUCGCUAGUAAUCGCGGAUCAGAAUGCCGCGGUGAAUACGUUCCCGGGUCUUGUACACACCGCCCGUCACACCAUGGGAGUCGGAAAUGCCCGAAGUCUGUGACCCAACCGUAAGGAGGGAGCAGCCGAAGGCAGGUCGGAUGACUGGGGUGAAGUCGUAACAAGGUACC